rnacentral:rRNA from 1 species
CUUGGUGGCUAUACCGCAGGGGGUACACCUCUUCCCAUUCCGAACAGAGAAGUUAAGUCCUGCAGGGCCGAUGGUACUGCUCGGUUACCCGUGUGGGAGAGUAGGUCGCUGCCAAGC